rnacentral:ribozyme from 1 species
UCUAUGAAAUGGUAGACGAACAGCUAAGGAAAAAAAAUGUCGAAAAACGAGCCCUUGAUAUUUCUAAUUCUUUGGGGAAAAUUUCUCUGUCUUCUUCUAUGUCUCCUCGUCUGUCUUCUUCUCUCUCUUCUUCUCUAAAUUCUUCCGGGGAGAAA